AGGUCAAGGUCACUGUGACCUUCAAUAUAAAAAAUGUUAAAGUUGUUAUAACUUUGGUAUGCUUGGACCUAGAGUCUUGAAACUUGACAUGAAGGUUGGCCAUAACUAGUUAGUAACCACUGGUCAUUUCAAGGUCAUUCAUUUGAAGGUCAAGGUCACUGUGACCUUGAAUGUAAAAAUGUUAAAGUUCUUAUUUCAUGGUAUAACUUUGGUAUGCUUGGACCUAGAGUCUUCAAACUUGACAUGAAGGUUGGCCAGGAUUAACAGAUGACCACUGGUCAUUUCAAGGUCAUUCAUUUGAAGGUCAAGGUCACUGUGACCUUGAAUGUAAAAAUGUUAAAGUUGUUAUAACUUUGGUAUGCUUGGACCUAGAGUCUUGAAACUUGACAUGAAGGUUGGCCAGAACUAGUAAGUAACCACUGGACAUUUCAAGGUCAUUCAUUUGAAGGUCAAGGUCACUGUGACCUUGAAUGUAAAAAUGUUAAAGUUCUUAUUUCAUGUUAUAACUUUGGUAUGCUUGUACCUAGAGUCUUCAAACUUGAAAUAAAGAUUGGCCAGUACUAGAAGAUGACCACUGGUCAUUUCAAUGUCAUUCAUUUGAAGGUCAAGGUCACUGUGACCUUAAAUGUUAAAAUGUUAAAAUUGUUAUAACUUUGGUAUGCUUGGACAUAGAGUCUUCAAACUUGACAUGAAGGUUUGCAAGCACACUUAGAUGACCACUGGUCAUUUCAAGGUCAUUCAUUCUAAGGUCAAGGUCACUGUGACCUUGAAUGUAAAAAUGUUAAAGUUCUUAUAACUUUGGUAGGUAAAAAUGUUAAAUGUCAAUUCAAGUUCAUAUUUGUGACCUUAAAUGUUAUUGUUGUUCAUGUAUAUGCAUGCAUUCAAAACAUAACACAAGGUUUGCUCAUGCCUUGAAAAGUACUUACAUUUCAUUUUGACCUUUGAACAAUAUUUCAGUAAUUUAAGUAUUGCAUUGACAAAAACACGAAAGGUACUUUCCUGUCAUUUAAAUCAAAAAUCCGGCUUCAAUGCGGUCAUCUCCGACCGCGGAACUCUUGUUUUGUAAUAAAUUAUUAAUCAAUUACAGAAUACAUAUUUGCAGUUUUAGAUUAUGAUAAUUGUAUGCAAAUGUAUUUAUGAAUAAGCAUAAAAUUUGAAUCUGACUGAAAAAUAACAGUAUUAAUUAAUUGAUAAAGAGACUUUAAAAGGAAUCACUUUUCCAGUUUAUAUUUAUAUUUUACUGAAAACAUAGAUAUGGCUUUAUUUUACUGAAAACAUAGAUAUGAAUAGACAUGGAUAUGAAAAAUCUCCUUACUCAAUAUUGGAUUGUAAUGAGUUCACAGUAUAUAAUGUUACUAUUUCCUUCUGUUAUAUGAUACAAUAUGUACAGAAAAGGUAUAAAAAUGGUAAAUAUAACCUGUCUAAUAUUCAUAACAAUGACGGUUUGAGAAAAUACACCUUUUAUAUAAGAGUAAUAGUUUAAACAGGCUUCUUUUUACAUUCAUUAAGGUAUUUGCUGUAUUUUUUCAUUUUUAACGAUGCUUAGAUUCUUUAGAUUUCUUUUGUACCUGUCCUUAAUUCUCUGUCAUUGUUCUUCAUUUUUCUAGUUCUUAGUAUGAAAGUUAGUUAUUUUCGUUAAAGCUGCUUUGGUUUUCACUUAUAGACUUAUUCUUUGAGUGUAUUCAGGCGUAUCUGACUGGAUGCCUUUAGUUAAUUGAAUUACAACCUGUCAGUGGUGUCAUCCUGACCGGACAUAAGCGUUCUUUAAUUAGACUCGAUAAAUAUUUCCGUAUUACAUAAGUGCUCACAAAGUGACAUAACUCGUAACCGUCCCGUGACCGGUUCACUUGCGUAAGCGAACGAGACCGCACUACCACAGUUGUUUAUAAUGAAACAUUGUGAAUACUUUUAGUCACAUUUUUAGUACAAUCUGAAUGACACUUGCUGAUCUUCACACAUGGUGACAAUCUUUAUGAGCAUAAUAUUUUUUGCUCAUGGUGAACUUUUGUGAUACCUGUUGUCAAUUGUCUGUCUUCUGUUGUGCGUCAUGAAUAUUUGCCUUGUUAACACUGUAGAGGCAACAUUUAUUGUUGGAUCUUCAUGAAACUUUUUCAGAAGAUUUGUCCCAAUAAUAUCUUGGACGAGUUCAAAAAUGGUUCCAGUCUGUUGAAAAACAUGGUCGCCAGGGGGCCAUUUGUUGUUCAUUUUUCAUGAAACUUGGUUAGAACAUUUGUUCUAUUGAUAUCUAGGGCUCCAAAGAACAGGUCAUUUCUUUUUAUCUCAGGUGAGCGACCUUGGGCCUUUCAGGCCUUCUUGUUUAUGAUUCAACCUCUUUAUUAAGUAGAAAUAGUGCUGAUUUGUUACUGUAGAUUGCGACCUAGAGUUUGCUGUCUCUUAGACUAAUGCAAUUAUUUUGUUAUAUGUAAAUUAGCUGAUAGAAAUAUAUAAUCUUGUUACUU